GACGGAGGAGGCAAGCGUUAUCCGGAAUUAUUGGGCGUAAAGGGUACGUAGGCGGCUGGUCAAGUCUGGGGUGAAAGGCCACAGCUCAACUGUGGGAAGGCCCUGGAAACUGACCGGCUAGAGUGAGGUAGGGGUUGCGGGAAUUCCCGGUGUAGCGGUGAAAUGCGUAGAGAUCGGGAAGAACACCUGAGGCGGAAGCGCGCAACUGGGCCUAAACUGACGCUGAGGUACGAAAGCUAGGGGAGCGAAGGGG
rnacentral:rRNA from 1 species